rnacentral:siRNA from 1 species
CCCGGGCUUUUGAUACGCUUGUG